GACGAACGCUGGCGGCGUGCUUAACACAUGCAAGUCGAACGCUGAAGCUCAGCUUUUGUUGGGUGGAUGAGUGGCGAACGGGUGAGUAACACGUGAGUAACCUGCCCCCUUCUUUGGGAUAACGCCCGGAAACGGGUGCUAAUACUGGAUAUUCACUGGUCUUCGCAUGGGGGUUGGUGGAAAGGGUUUUUCUGGUGGGGGAUGGGCUCGCGGCCUAUCAGCUUGUUGGUGGGGUGAUGGCCUACCAAGGCUUUGACGGGUAGCCGGCCUGAGAGGGUGACCGGUCACAUUGGGGCUGAGAUACGGCCCAGACUCCUACAGGAGGCAGCAGUGGGGAAUAUUGCACAAUGGGCGCAAGCCUGAUGCAGCGACGCCGCGUGAGGGAUGGAGGCCUUCGGGUUGUGAACCUCUUUCGCUCAUGGUCAAGCCGCAACAAUGGUUGUGGUGAGGGUAGUGGGUAAAGAAGCGCCGGCUAACUACGUG
rnacentral:rRNA from 1 species